AUUUUACAGGAGAGGAGAGCCUGACGUUUCAAGAACUCAAGGUUCAGUACUAGGUCUUAGAGGAAGACUUCAUUUUAGCUUUGAUGCUCUCCGCUAGGCACAGAGAAACUUAAGCAGAAUGACAAGACCUGCUGUUUGAGUAACUCACGUUCUGACCAGAGAGACAGACAUGUCAGCAAGAGGUUACAAUACAGUGUGCUCAGAUUCUCCGGGACUUGGAGCACUUGUUCCAGAAAGGAAGGCCAGGGAAGUCUUCCAGGAGUAGAUGGCGCCUCUGCUGACCUGAAGGGUGAGGAAAAAGUGUCCAGUUGCAGAAGGUGCAACUGCCUAUAGAACAGCUGCCGCGGCCCACUGAAAGCUUCAAGCCGAGACCUGAGGUGCAUGAACCCUCCUUCUGAUAAGCUUCAGAGCAGGUAAAAUCAUCAUUAA
rnacentral:lncRNA from 10 species